rnacentral:rRNA from 1 species
UACGGAGGGUGCAAGCGUUAUCCGGAUUCACUGGGUUUAAAGGGUGCGUAGGCGGCGCGGUAAGUCGGGUGUGAAAUCUCGGAGCUUAACUCCGAAACUGCAUUCGAUACUGCGGUGCUUGAGGACUGGAGAGGAGACUGGAAUUCAUGGUGUAGCAGUGAAAUGCGUAGAGAUCAUGAGGAAGACCAGUGGCGAAGGCGGCUCUCUGGGACGGUACUGACGCUGAGACGCGAAAGCGUGGGGAGCGAACAGG